rnacentral:rRNA from 1 species
CUUGACAAACUUAUAAGAGGUCCAGCCUGCCCAGUGACUCUGUUCAACGGCCGCGGUAUCCUAACCGUGCGAAGGUAGCGUAAUCACUUGUUCUUUAAAUGAGGACUAGUAUGAAUGGCACCACGAAGGUUAUACUGUCUCCUUUUUCUAAUCAGUGAAACUAAUCUUCCCGUGAAGAAACGGGAAUAAAAAUAUAAGACGAGAAGACCCUAUGGAGCUUUAAACAAAUAUACACCUGCCUCUUUACCAAAAAAUUUCAGAAGACAAGUAGUCACCCAGGCAUUUUGAUAUAGCGUUUUAGGUUGGGGUGACCGCGGAGCAAAAAAUAACCUCCGCAGCGAACGGGAGUAUUCCCUAAACCAAGGGCCACAACCCCAAGUAUUGAUAAAUCAACACUAAUUGACCCA